GGGGAGGGACGUGCAGAGGCCGGCGUUCACCAGUACAGACUCAUGAGUGCCAGCUGGCUGCCAGGCACUCUCCUGGGUGUGGGAAUACCUGAAGGACAUCACAGGAAAAAGUCCUUCCCUGAUGGGGCCAACAUUCUGAUGUGGUGAGACAGAAAAUAAUGAUACCGAACAGACGGUGCAACCUCUUAGAACGUACUACAUCCUGUGGAGAAAGUAAUCAGAGGGUUCCAAAGCUGUGGAUCUUCUUGGAAGGAGAGCUUCACUCUGACCAGAGAGAGUCAUCUGUUCAUUCAGUCUGUUUACUGAGCGCUGGCAGCAGCCUCUGCAAUGGCCCCAGUGAUGCCCGUCCUGGUGUUCACGUCCUCAUGUGUCCCCUCCCCUUGAGAGGAGGCUGCACCUGGUGACUUGCUUCUAACAAAUGGAACCCCGCGAAAGUGAUGGAGGUCACAUCUGAGAUGACGGUACAUGAUGGCCGUGACUCCCGUCUUGCUCGUAUGCUCCGUCUCUCCCUCCCUCCCUCUCUCUGUCUCUGUCUCUGUCUCUCUCGCUCUCUCUGGGCCCUUCCUCUGGCAGAAUCCAGCUGCCGUGCUGUGAGUAAUUGUGGAGAGCCUCAUAGGAUGAGGAAGUAUCUUCAGUUGACAGCCGGUAAGGCCUAGAGCCUUCUGACAGCCAAGUGAUCGAGCUUGGAAGUCGAUUUUCUAAGGCCAAGAGCCUCAGGAGUGAGCUGGGAAGCGAACCCUCCUGCACUUGGCCCUCGAGAUGGUGGUGGCCUGGCGACCCCUGGGUCACUGCCUUGUGAGAGACCUGAGCCACAGCCACCAACCGAGCCACCCCUGCACCUGACUUCCUGACCCACAGAGACUGUGGGAUAAUAACUGCUGCUUUAAGCUGCCAGAUUUUGAGCAGGUCAUUUGUUAUGCAGCAAUAGAUAGCUGAUGCAAGCACCUACUAUUUCCAGGAGGUGGGUGAGGCCUCAAGAAGGUGAAAAAUGAGUGAGGCCUAGUCACUGUGUCGGGGGGAGGGGAAGACAGGCGCACACAUAGACAUGGUCCUUACAAUGCAAGGUGCUAAGUGUGCAGAUGGAGAUGCCCUGAGCGUGCGAUAGGAGCACAAAGGAAGGGCUCCUUAUGCAGCAGAAGGAAGGGAGCUGAGGAAGCUCAUCCUGGAGAAGACCCCGCUUCCAGGAAAAGUUGGGGGGGGCCCUGGAGAGGGGCCAUGGGUCAUGCCUGGAGGCGCGAUGGUGUGGUGUCCGUGUAGGAACGGAGCACCGUAGUCUGUGGGGAAAGCAAGAGGAGAGGAAAGAUGAGGCUGGAGACGUGACUAGACACUAGUCUAGUCUUCUGCCAGUAAUUUAUUUUAAAAUAAUAUUACGAAAUCCUGCUUUGAGUGAAAGGAGGUGAAAACAAAAGUUAAUAAAGGAGCUACCCUGUUCUUCUCAACAGGCUGACACCUGAAUUUUAAGAAGCCAAAUUCAAUUAUCUGGAGAGUACGGACAAGUGUAAUUUGCUUCACUGUUUCUGUUCGUAGACUUGAGCAGAGAACUGUUGACAUGUUUCCAUGGAAUAAUUGUGGUUCCCAUUGAAGAACUGGCUCAGGCGAUGUUUGCUGCUUUCACAGGUGGGAAAUUGGCCCUCCCAGCUUUAGGACUUUUUGAAUCUAUAUCUUGACAAUCUGAGGAGAGGUUUAGGAAACAUCCUGUGUUUUUUGUUUGGUUGAUUGUUUUCCUCCCUCCCUGUCUCCUUGUUUUCUUCUUUCCUUCCUUUCUCCCUCUCUCCCUCUCUAUCUCCUUCUUUCAGUUCCUCAGAAUGUUGAAGGAUCCAUAUUUCUAGGCUCUCAGCGUCAGCUUUGCAAGGGAUGGAAAGGCAACGGAAGCCCCCUCAUCCCCCUCCCAGAGGAUUAGUGCUCAAGAUUCUUACACUGCUUCUCGGGAGGCCCUCUCUCUCCACUGCCCGUGAGUGAGGCUAAUGAUUAGCAGGUAACAAGAUUACUUGAACCAAGAUGGCUACAAAACUAGGCUUGUGGAUAAUAGUUGGUCCAGAACAGGAAGAAAUAAAAACGAUAUUUAAAGUAACUUCAAAAAUUAAAAUGUUUUAUAGUUCCAUUCUAAAAUGACUUUCUGCCUCUGGACUCCACAGUGUUGACAGGAGGUAAUGGUGUGCCCUUGCAUCUGGAGUGGGCAGCUCCUUGAGCUGGGGUCCCCUGCUUGUGCUCAUGGGGCAGGGGUUCUGAAUAGACUCCUAGAAACAAAACGUCACCUGCUGUACUGGGUUUUGCAGGAAGUUACACGCUCCCUUUCCAGAUGGAAGCCGGCACCCUUCUCACGUCCUGAAGUCGUUCCCUCCUCUCAUCCCCGUGUAUGAACGGCUCGUGCCUCUAUUAUUAUCUGUGGAAUGAUGGUAAAAUAUCUUCAACAGAAGAGGCAAAAGCAUCAACUGAUCAGAGUGGAUCCAGUGCUGGGGCAGCAUCCUGGACUCUCUCUUCUGUGCCAGCCAUCACCCCUUUUGUAGAGGGGUCUGCGGUGCCAGAGGAGGGACCUUGGGGCAAGAAGAUCUUUAGGGGCUCUGGGGCUCCUUGAGGCUCAGAUUUGUACAGGCUGAACAGUUGUUUUAGCUCCCGUCUUCCCCACCAGCCUGGGAGCAGGUGGCGGUGUGAGCCGACCUUUCUCUUCUCCGUCUCUCUACUACCUGAGGCAAUAUGGGCCAUAGCAGGUGCAUGGUAAACACGUGUAGGGUGAAAUUGGAGUAUAGCUGUUUGUUCAGACGUUCGGUUUUUGUUGCGGCUCUGCCUGGAGUUAGACACGGCACUAGGCACUUGGGGAGAUGGAAAGAGAAGCAAGAGUUGGCUUUUGCUUUUGAUGAGUUUUAGCCUAGUUACCGGGCUCUGCUGGAACUGUGUCGUUCCUCGCAGUGUCCCCGUGCUUAGUACAGGGCCUGGCACACAGCAGGCCCUCGGUAAACAUUUGAUGAUUAAGUGUAACUUCAAGUGUCUGAGCCAGAGGAGUUGCUUCAGACGGGUCACUCUUUGUCGACCCCUCCAAAUCUGCCAGCCCAGCAAACCCAGUCCCGCAGAAUGACUCCCAAGGAUCCAACAAACCAGUCUGGUUAGCCAGGAACAAAAGCCACUGGGAAAAUAACGCAUCACUUUUCAUCUGGUGUUUCAAAAGGAACUGAGGUAUUAAAAUAAGGUCCCAGUUGUCCCAAUCAGAUCUUUUUUUCCAAAGGAAUUACAGGCCUGUGAGCCAGCAGCGACCGCAUACACCUUUGCAGUCAUCGGAACCAGCGUUCUCGACACUGAAAGCAAAAUCAAGUAAACAAAGUCGUGUCGUGGUCUUCCUUGACCCGGACUUUCAGGAAGAAGCUGACACACUGCCCAGACUCGCGCUCACCCACAUAGCUCCGGAGCCAAACAAACCGGAGAAGCUCGUGUUUUCCCAGCUGUAUGAUGCACUCGCUUCACCCGACGGCUGGCCAGGAAACAAGGGGAAGAAAAAAAACACGCCCGGUUCAGACCAGGCAGGGAGAGAAGAACGGCUUCCGCUGGCCUUUGUUGUUUUAUUCUCAUGAACUAUCAAGAAAUGUAAAAAAUGGAGGAAGGCGGAACUACGGCUUUUAGUUACCGAAAAGGAAAGAAGAUCUUUUUUUUUUCUUUUGAAGAUCUGAUCAUGUUAUUACUCUGCUUUCAAACUUCAGUGACUUUCUGCUCCACGGUCUUCAAACCCCUGCCAGGUCUUUCACAACCGGUCCGACACACCCUUUCCAGACACAUCUGCCCCGUUUCCUCCCACUCAAUGCUGUGUUCGAGCCUUGCCAGGCUGCCGUUGUUUGAGAUACUUCAUGUGCUUUCUUGCCCAUGUGCUUCUGUGCCUCUAUUCCUUCUGCUAGUAAUACCCUUCCUUGCCUUGAUCUCUAAGGAAACUCUAACUCAUCUUUCAAGACCACUUAGAAAGACGUUUGUCACUGUCACUCCCUCAAUAACAGAACUCACUGCUCCUUUGUGUGUCUCCCCAUAGGGCCACUUUGUGGUCUCUUAUGGCACUAAUUCCUUGGGGCAUUCAUUCAUUCAACCACAUUCAUUGUCUUUGUGCUUUGCACCGGAUACCCUGCUAGGCAGUGGGGCUCCAGGAAUAAAAGUUCCCAACUAGAAGGAGCCUCAGGCAAGUAAACAACUGUUGCAAGACAGAAUUGUCAGUUCUUUGGUAGAGGUAAGCACAGGGUGUUCUGGGAGAUCAGAGGAGGGUCACAUACCCCAGUCUGAUUGGUGGGAGAGGACGUGGAAGGCUUCCUGGAGGAGGUGGCACCUGAAAAGCCUAAAGGACAAGGAGUUUUUGUAUCCAUCUCCUCAUUCUUGGCAGAGCACUCCUUGAGGAAAGAGGUCAAUCAUAGAUUAUAUCAAAUCAGGUUAUUUAUUCCACACGUUUAUUAAGCUCUUUGCUAGGAGACAAACACUCUUACUCCCAGGAGCAGCUUGGGGCUAGGGAGUAGCUGUUGGGAGGGAGAAGUGGAUGAGGGAAGAAGUAGAGGAAAUCACGAUUGAUCCCCAAGUUUCUAGCUUAGGCAUAUGGGUGAAGCGUGACUCAGGGCUGCCAUGUGCAGGUGUGCAGGUUGUGGACUCACGAUGAGGAGGCAAUGCAGGAGGAGGGGCAAAUUGGGGGGGAAGAGCCUUGUUCUUCAUACCAGAGUAACCAACCCUUGAGAGAUGACGUCAGCGUGGACUAGGAUGGAGAGAACUGCUUUGUUUUCUUAAAAGCAGGCCCUCUGUUCUCUCUUGGGGGCACUGGGAAAUCCGCUCUCCUGCUGUGUUCACUCGGCUCCUUUUUGGACCUCAAGAAUCCCCACUGUGACUCAGGCAGGACGUUCCCAUGUCGCCUUUGUCUUUAGAUCAUUUUGCCAGCUCUACCAGGGGAGGUGUCAGGGUUCUGGCUUAAAUGAAGCUUGAAAAUUAGGUGUAAGACUGAAUAAUUUACUCAGUCAUCAGUAUUAACUAUUAACCAAUAAAUAGGGUUAUUAUUAAUAACAUCUAUUAUUAUUAACCCAAAGUUGUCUUUAGUUAUUAGGAUUCAUUCAAGCUACAAUCUGAUCAUCUUACAAUAGUGGGGAUGCCAUAUUAACCUGAAGUUUUAUUUUCUUGACUUUUAUCCCAUUUUUCCUUUUACAUAGUGGAAGAAAUCUGAGCAGGAAUUUUGAUCACCAAAGAUAAAUAAUUUAAAAAGUAAAUAAUCCCUUCAAAAAAAAUGUUUUGAUGCAUUCUUAAUAGACCCUAAGUAAUUCCCUCCUUCUGGGGAGUUUGACUCUCUCUAGAACAUUCCUCAGGUUACCACUUGACUUCCUGUUACCUUUAGAGAGAAACAUAAAUCAUUUACUAAAUGUGCCACUUUAAAGUGUAUCCAGAUCAUUCAGUAAAAUUGGCUCUUCAUUAUUCUUGAUUGAUUGCUUUGUUUGCCUUUUCCAUCUCUUUCUAGAAAUGCUGGGUCCCAACAUAUGUGUCCCGUAGGAGUAGACAAUACAUUCUACCAAAGACAGCCGGGCCAGGACAUUUAACUGUUGCCCUUCUGCACUGCCUUUUUCCCCUACUCCUCCC
rnacentral:lncRNA from 1 species